rnacentral:tRNA from 1 species
AGGGUAUAGCUCAGUGGUAGAGUGUGUGUGUGAUUAGCAUCACAAGGUCCUGGGUUCAAUCCCCAGUAACUCUG